rnacentral:rRNA from 1 species
GGGCGGUUUGUUAAGACCGAUGUGCCCCCCGGGCUCAACCUGGGAACUGCAUUGGUGACUGGCAAGCUAGAGUAUGGCAGAGGGGGGUAGAAUUCCACGUGUGUGAGCAGUGAAAUGCGUAGAGAUGUGGAGGAAUACCGAUGGCGAAGGCAGCCCCCUGGGCCAAUACUGACGCUCAUGCACGAAAGCGUGGGGAGCAAACAGGAUUAGAUAUACCCUGGUAGUCCACGCCCUAAACGAUGUCAACUAGUUGCCCUUGGGGAUUUCAUUUCCUUAGUAACGUAGCUAACGCGUGAAGUUGACCGCCUGGGGAGUACGGUCGCAAGAUUAAAACUCAAAGGAAUUGACGGGGACCCGCACAAGCGGAUGGAUGAUGUGGAUUAAUUCGAUGCAACGCGAAAAACCUUACCUACCCUUGACAUGGUCGGAACCUUGGAGAGAUCUGAGGGUGCUCGAAAGAGAACCGAUACACAGGUGCUGCAUGGCUGUCGUCACGCUCGUGUCGUGAGAUGUUGGGUUAAGUUCCCGCAACGAGCGCAACCCUUGUCCUUAGUUGCUACGCAAGAGCACUCUAGGGAGACUGCCGGUGACAAACCGGAGGAAGGUGGGGAUGACGUCAAGUCCUCAUGGCCCUUAUGGGUAGGGCUUCACACGUCAUACAAUGGUCGGAACAGAGGGUCGCCAACCCGCGAGGGGGAGCUAAUCCCAGAAAACCGAUCGUAGUCCGGAUUGCACUCUGCAACUCGAGUGCAUGAAGCUGGAAUCGCUAGUAAUCGCGGAUCAGCAUGCCGCGGUGGAAUACGUUCCCGGGUCUUGUACACACCGCCCGUCACACCAUGGGAGUGGGUUUUACCAGAAGUGGCUAUUAACCGCAAGGAGGAC